rnacentral:lncRNA from 1 species
AAUGAAGCCAAAACAUGUGCGUCCAGGCUUAAUUGGUUGCACAAAGACCAAGCCAGGAUGAGCAGACACGGAUUCAUUAAGCCAGGUGAAACCAAUCCUGGAUAGGUGCGCGCUCACGGCUCACUCAAAUAGACCCCGCCACAGAUCACAGAUUAACUGAUUUACCAUGGCAACUAGAGCCGCGUACUUUUCCCCGUCGGAAGCACAAAUCCUCAUGGAGGCAUACGAGGAGGUAAAAUAUAUAAUUAAGAAGAAAGGCAACACCGCCACAGUGAUAAAGCAAAGAGAAAAAGCGUGGCAAAGUAUUGCAGACCGCCUGAAUGCAUUAAACAUGAACGGGCCAAAACGGACAUGGCAGCAGGUCAAAAUCAAAUACAAGAACAUUCUGCAGAAUGCAGUGAAAAAGAAUACCCACAGACAAGGCACGGGUGGUGGGUCACCAAAGGCUGACCUUACCCCAGCAGAGGACAUGGCCUUGGAGCUAAAUAAAGGCAGGCCCGUCUUAGAGGGGAUCCCUGGGGGGAAAGAGACGAGCAUAGGUUCCUCCCAAGAUGCCACCCGCUUCAUUCAAGUGUCUGGCAGCACUGUGUUCCUGUUAGAGCCACCAGCACAAGCACCAGACGAUGCUGAUCCAGGUGAAGGCCCCAGUGCAGCAGCAACAGCACAUGAUGGAGACGAUGAUGAGGAGGAGACCAUCUCUCUGGAUUCCAGAAGGCAUGAGGACCCAGAUGCUAUACAGUGGGAAAACCAGCCUGGCAACAUAGUGCGUAUUAAUAAAAGGACACCACAUCCUGCCAAAUUCCAGCUGCGCUAAUUGUAUUGUGUUCACAGAGCUCACAAGCUAUCAGAAAGUUGUAUGGCAACCACCUCCGGCGCCAAAUAGAACUGGCAGACAUAGACAUUCAGUACAAGAAGAAAAAGAUGGAAAAUCUUGCACUGGAGUCCGAAAUAAAAAAGAGGACAAUUAGGAAACUGGACCUUGAAAUAAAAAAACUUGAGAGGGAGCUCCAAGAAGAUGACACAGCUCAAAAUAAAAAUUAGGUAUAUUCUCGUAAAGUCAAGUGAGCCAUGACAUAUGAGCUCUUAUUGUGAGCACACAGG